rnacentral:rRNA from 1 species
AGUGAACGCUGGCGGCAGGCCUAAUACAUGCAAGUCGAACGGCAGCACAGCAGAGCUUGCUCUGUGGGUGGCGAGUGGCGGACGGGUGAGGAAUACAUGGGAAUCUGCCCAGUCGUGGGGGAUAACGUAUGGAAACGUACGCUAAUACCGCAUGCGCCCUACGGGGGAAAGUCGGGGACCGCAAGGCCUGACGCGAUUGGAUGAGCCCAUGUUCGAUUAGCUAGUUGGCGGGGUAAAGGCCCACCAAGGCGACGAUCGAUAGCUGGUCUGAGAGGAUGAUCAGCCACACUGGAACUGAGACACGGUCCAGACUCCUACGGGAGGCAGCAGUAGGGAAUAUUGGACAAUGGGGGCAACCCUGAUCCAGCCAUGCCGCGUGAGUGAAGAAGGCCCUCGGGUUGUAAAGCUCUUUUGUCCGGAAAGAAAAGCAUCUGGUUAAUACCCGGGUGUUCUGACGGUACCGGAGAAUAAGCACCGG